AAAUAGAAGAUGAAGAGGGCUUUUUCAUCGGUGCCCGCAGUGGGAGUGUCUACACCCUAUAGUUUGAGCUCAGGGGGAUCAGGGAGUGUACUUGCAAGUAUUGACGAAUGACGAUGAUGAUAUUUUAUAUCGUUUUCAGUCCUAUAGGUCCCACAAAGGGGUUUUUACCUCCUGCUGUAGUGGUAUGUUUUCAGAUUUGGUUCAGUGGUAAUGAUUUGACUUGAUGUUUAUGUCUUUUCUUAUGAAAAUACACUUUUGAUUGAUGUCUUGAAGGUGUUGCUACUUCUUCUACCU
rnacentral:lncRNA from 1 species